UCGGUUUCAAAUUACAGUUUUGGGAUCUCCUCCAUUCAAAAUAUACUGAAAUUAGAACGUAAAGCUUUCAUUAACCUCCUCCCUAAUAGGAGGCACUGAAGCACAAAAAUGCUCUCCUCCCUUGCGUUAUUAACUCCGUAAAGCAUGCAUCAUCUGCAAACAUAUAUAUGUUACAUAGCAGCAUCCACAUAUGAUUAUUUCAGCUCCAGCUUUGAUGGUGGGAAGGUGUCCACUGUGAAAUCUUCAUGUUUGGAUUGGAUUGAUGGGGGCAUCAAAUUUGCAGACAAAGCUGAGCUUGGUCUUCCAAACUUGGCCGCUGCUUCAUUAUAAGGGAAAAUGGACUGGCUCCUUUGUAGCAUUAUCAACUCAACUUCCCCAGGAUCAAGGGUCCCAAUUAUUUGGCUCCUUAAAUCCGAAUCGGCAAUCCAAAAUUUUGGAAAGUUCUAAUUUCACCUCGAAGGCCAGCAGUUACAAUCACCAUACCCCAGGCUGUCAUGUUUGGGCUAAAACCAUUCGUAAAAUCAAAACUAACACGCGGGCUUCGGUUCCUAGUAGCUAGAAGUAGUUUCUCCUCGGGCCAUGUUGCCGAAAUUCUAUCAAAGAAGUAAGUGUUGGAUGCACUCGAAAUGGUUCCAUGAAGAGGGCUAUUGGUGCAACCAGAUGCCGAACGUGAACCCUCGUUGCCAUUAGCCACCUCGACAGGCGUAGGGGGAUGGUUGGCUGUGGAGACCUCAUCAAGAUUGUUGUCAAGCCCAUUUUGUUCUGCAUCUUGUAAUCCCCAUGAAUCGCCCACUCCAGGCCAAGGGAUGGCCACUGAUACAUCUUGGCAAUGGAAAUGCUCAUAGGAGCGUGUGACGGUAACGCUUUUGCUUCUGCUAGGUCGGGAAUCAGCUUCAUGUUUCCAUAUAUAUACAUGAGAAUCCUCACUAGCAGAUACCACAUAUUUACCAUUUGCUGUGAGGGUGGCUGAGAUUUGACUA